GACAGAGGAUGCAAGCGUUAUCCGGAAUGAUUGGGCGUAAAGCGUCUGUAGGUGGCUUUUUAAGUCCGCCGUCAAAUCCCAGGGCUCAACCCUGGACAGGCGGUGGAAACUACCAAGCUGGAGUACGGUAGGGGCAGAGGGAAUUUCCGGUGGAGCGGUGAAAUGCGCAGAUAUCAGGAGGAACACCGGUGGCGAAGGCGGUUCUCUGGGCCUUACCUGACACUGAGGAGCGAAAGCGUGGGGAGCGAACAGG
rnacentral:rRNA from 1 species